AAACCAUAAAAUGUCAAAAAUGGAGUCAUAGAAGGAAAUGGAGAUGCGGGGUAUCGAUUCCCGUACCUCUCGCAUGCUAAGCGAGCGCUCUACCAUCUGAGCUACAUCCCCACCGAUGAUACCUGGGCAAAGGAAUCUGGGAAUGGCGUAUCCGACUUUAAAGUUGUAUUGAUGAACUGUUUCGAGUUUUGUGGAUCCCACAUCUGUCUUUUUCUUCUUCUUUUCUCCCUCCAUUUCUGGUGUGGUGAGUUUUAACGCUCCUCUUUUACAAAAUGACAAAGUGUAACGCUUGUUUUGAUUAUUUGCAGUAGGUGGGUCAGUUACUGAAAAUAUUCCCUUUUUCUGGUGUUUAUCUUCUGUAUUUUUUUUAGUUAUAAUUUCUGUUCCUUGUUUCAACAAUUUCCGUUUAAUUUUUCUGAUUUAUGGUAUUUUUAUAUGGGCAACGGGGUUAAACAACUGUCUCAUUCAAUGAAAAAGAUGGAUGGUUGUGUUUGAUGGAGAUGGUCAUAAUUAGAUUUUGAUGUUCAAAAAAUGAAUUAUCUUAGUCAUUGGAAUAAUGGGUCUUCUCCAGUUUGCUGCUUGUCCUUUCACUAGUAUAGGAUGGUCAAAGCACAAACUAUUAUACUAAUGAAAUAGCUGUUCAUUAAAUUCUAUGGUUUGUUUUGAUGAAUUAAGGUCCUUAAUAAUGGAGCUAAUUUGGUAAACACAUGGUUCUUAAUUAGUGGUCGAGGUUACAUAAUUGGAUUCUCUCAAUGCUAUUAAACGCUAUGUAACUGUUACUAGCCAAAUGUUGUAAAGAGGAAGUCCAAUCUUUAGGUGAAGGUUUUAUCUGAGUCGAUGGGAUAUGUGAAAUGACAUUCUAGAACAAUGGACUGUCGAAACCGAAGUGGUCAUAGGGGUUGGUGGUGAAAAUUAUGUCUUGCCUGCCUUUAACCAUUGAAACCAUGGAUUUCUUCGAACUGCCGAACCGUGCUUGUUUCAUUAAGAACGAAUCUUCUUUUACGAUUUGUAUGGUUUCAUUUACGGAAAUGCCACGCGGAGCAUGUCAAUCUGUUGGUUUCAGUUGGCAAACGCAGUUGCUGCUUUUUUGGACAACUCCCAUCAAAGCCUUAAACCAUUCUAAUGAUAUUGUUUUAUGUUUGCUUUAGUUAAAUUCUAAUUUUAGGGUUUAUAUCAUUUAAAUUUAUAUUUGGCAUAGGUAAGUUCAAGAAUAUGUACAAUUUUCUCCGGAGUUUUUACAGUGCCUAAGAAAACCCCUUAGUGAUUAUGAUUGAUGGACUUUUCACCAUGCCUAUUUUACCUUCUUCAGUGGCCCCAAAAUUUAAUGCAUAUGCUUCCCUUUUCAUCUUUAUAAACUCCAUUUCUCUAGAAACCUACAACAAAAUGUCUUCCUAUUCCAUUUUAUUACUCAAUUUCCUUUCAUAAUGGCUGAAAAGAUGAAGAGAAGUGGCAAUUCUAGGUCUCGGCGGAUGACUUAUGUAAAACGUAAGGAAAGCGUUCUCAAGCAGGCCGCUGAAUUAUCCAUGUUAUAUCAUAUAGAUGUUGGACUCAUGAUGUUUUCUCCUACAGGUCAAUUUACCAGUUUUGCUCACAAGGGAAGGUUGAUGAAGAAUCUCUAAUAGAUAAUAAUGUUUUUUUUUUCUAUGUUCUUGUGUUUUUUAAGUUUUAAAUGCAUCUUGUGAUAACAUUUUUCUUAUGCCUUCUAUAGGGUCGAGGAUAUCUUUCUUCGUUACUUGGACCAUAAUGAUGAACAUAAAGAGUGUGUCUUUUUGAUCUUUGCUAUUUUUGUUUCAUAAAGAAAUUUUCACAAACAGCUAAGCUGAGGGUUUACUAAUAUGUUUGCGUUGUCCUUGUCUGUGUUUCGGCCUCUGGUUAUCCCCAUAUUGAUUUCUGUAUACUAGACCUCUUGAAAAUGAAGCGGUAGUCUAUCUCUCUGUCUCUCUUUUUUCUCCUUUUCCCCAAUUUUCGAGAUUGUUUUUAUCUUCCUACUUUGCCUUCUAAUACUUGUGCUUACGGUUCUUGUACGAAAGAUUGAAGCGUUUGAAGUACGAAGCAGAAAUACUGGAUAAAUUAGGAAGGUAUCAUGUGAUCUUUUGCUCCAAACAUGCACAUUCUUUUUUAUGCUUUAAUUUAUUUCUAUCUCACAGUCGUUCUUUCUAUUUUUUCACAUGAUUUAUCUGCUGUUAACACAAUGCAUGUGCAGCAUAGAGGCUCUUGAGAGAAAACUCGCUGAUCUCAACUGGAAAAAAUAUGAAGCCGAGGACAAGAUGAGGUCUUAUAAUCCUGAUAUGACAAAGAUCCUCACAAUUUCUGAAGCUGAUCUCCACCAGCAAUUUGUUAUGGACGCAAUUCUACGAAUUGAAAAGUUGAAAAUGAAAUAAAAAGCUGCUUGAGCAAGAGGUUUCAUCUGCAAAGCCGAAUGAUGUUGAGGUAACAGGUUAAAAAGCUGCUUGAGCAAGAGGUUUCAUCUGCAAAGCCGAAUGAUGUUGAGAUGUUAGGUUCGACAGCUGAAGGAGCUGCAAGCUCAGGAACACAGAGGACUCAGCUAGCAAAUGAUCACAAUGAUGAAAACAUCGAACAACCGGAACCUUCAGCAAGCGAAGGUCACAUCUUAGAGGUGCAAGUUUCAUAGAAGAGCACAGCAAUGUUGCGGAUACCAACUUAAGUUUCUCUAAGUUUAUAUGGAUUUCAUAAAAGCAAACUGUCGUUAAUUACUUCGGUCUAGUCAAGCAGUUGUUCCUUUUAUCAACAGUGUCGAGGGUUUAAGGUUUAAACCCCUCUUCUUCUUCCUUUGGUUUCUUUAAAUGUAUGGAAUAUAGAGUAAAAAGAAACUCGGUAGGGUUGCUAGCAGUUCUUGCAAUAUUGUACUCCUUGUCUGAAGUCUGAGACUUCGAAAAUAGUAAUUUUUUAUGGUUAUUUUGAAUAUGGUUUGCUGUA